rnacentral:rRNA from 1 species
UACGUAGGGUGCAAGCGUUAUCCGGAAUUAUUGGGCGUAAAGAGCUCGUAGGCGGUUUGUCGCGUCUGCUGUGAAAAACUGGAGGCUCAACCUCCAGCCUGCAGUGGGUACGGGCAGACUAGAGUGCGGUAGGGGGAGACUGGAAUUCCUGGUGUAGCGGUGAAAUGCGCAGAUAUCAGGAGGAACACCGGUGGCGAAGGCGGGGUCUCUGGGGCCGAUACUGACGCUGAGGAGCGAAAGCGUGGGGGAGCGAACAGG